CCAGCACCCGAGUGGUCGGGACGAUUAUUGGGCCUAAAGCAUCCGUAGCCGGUUUUACAAGUCCUCCGUUAAAUCCAACUGCUUAACAGAUGGGCCGCGGAGGAUACUAUAAGACUAGGAGGCAGGAGAGGCAAGCGGUACUCAGUGGUGGGGUAAAAUCCGUUGAUCCAUUGAAGACCACCAGUGGCGAAGGCGGCUUGCCAGAAUGCGCUCGACGGUGAGGGAUGAAAGCUGGGGGAGCAAACCGGAUUAGAUACCCGGGUAGUCCCAGCUGUAAACGAUGCAGACUCGGUGAUGGACUAGCUUUAUGCUAGUCCAGUGCCGCAGGGAAGCCGUUAAGUCUGCCGCCUGGGUAGUACGGUCGCAAGACUG
rnacentral:rRNA from 1 species